GUUCCUGUAGCGUAUUGGAUAGCGCGUUGAACUUCUACUCCAUAGGUCGUGGAUUCGAAUCCCACCUGGGAUG